CUUAAGUAAUUAUUAAAAUUUUAAGCCAGGGUUUAUAUUACAUUGGAAUUUGUGAACACUAGCACUAGUAUAAAUGAUAUUGGGACAAAAAUGAAAGAAGGGAAGAUUGGUAGCCCUUUAACAUUAAAUAUUUUUCUAAAGAUUUCAUUACCUGGUAUACAUCAAAAUCUAGUUUUCUGGGGAUUGCUAUUGAAAGUUGUGUUUGAACAGUGUUUACCAGUUUACAUAGGAACAGUAUGGUUGAUUUUAAAGACAACACACUCUGUAUUAAGCAUUGUUAUUAUUUUUUCUCAUUGAAUGAUUGAGUUAUAGAAGAAGUGUGUGUAGUCAUACUGUAAGAAUCAAUAGAACAAGUCUGAUAAGGUUAUUUUCAGUUUUAAAUUGAUUUUGAAAUGUUUGAUUAUUUGAUUAUGUAUUUGUAAUAUUGAUAAAAGGGGUUACCGCUAUUUUGUGUAAUUACUGUUGGUAUAGAAAAAUAUGUCUGCAUUGAUAUACAUGUGUGUUGUGAAUAUGUUCAAGAUGAAAAUUUUGAAUAAAAAUGCAUUAAUUUUAAAGUGCAUAAAUGUUUAACAGGUAUUUCUACGAAAGAACAGUUUCUUGUUCAAACACAAAAAAUAUUUACAGAUUGUUUGGUAAUGGACUAAUUGAUGUAUUUACUAGUGGUUUGACUUUGAAACCAAAAAAAGAGCAUUAAAGUUGUCAAAGUAGUUAAAAUAUUUAAUUUUUGUACAAUAGUUGGUAGUCAUAAAGUCAUAAAGGGCAAAGGGCUGAAUAUUUUAUAUGUUAACAUUUGUGUAGAAUUAUGUGUAUAUAAUUCAAGUAAUAUAAAAACUCAAAAGGCAUAUACACUGUAAGGUUAUUAAACUAUAGUCACUAUAAGUUAAAAGUUAAGAUUCAAGUAUAACAGCCAUAAACAUUGCAAGUAUAAUUUUUUGCAUAAUUGAUAAUGUGAAAUAUUUCCCAAUCAGAUUUAAUUGUAAUUAUUGUAUUGCAGUCAUAAUAAGAGGGUAUUAAUGGGGUUCCACACAUGAGGAAUGGUGGUUCAAAUAUUGGUUAAAAUUAAGCCAACAAUAAAUAUAUAACUCCAUUUGAUUGUAAAAGAAGCUUCAGAAUGAGAUUUGACAAAUAACGAUAAAAAAAGUCAAGAUUUAUUUGACCCUUACAGUAGUGUAAAAGGGACAUUUGAAACUUGACAAUAAAGGGCAUUCCUAUCCUUUAAAUAAUAACCGUGUUGAAAUUUCCACAAUGUGGUGCUUGGUUUAGUCUUAAGAUUCUGAGUUGUAAUUUGAGUUGUUGGUUGUAUAUUAAGUAAGUUUUUUUUACAUUAUUUUAUUAUUGUAUUAGAUAGUUGGAUAUAAGAUUACAACAGUUGCAGGAUAGUCAAACAGCACAGAUACAGAUUUUCAUUUUUAUUUUAAUUCUGUAAAUAAAUAGGGUUUGGGUAUUAAAACUUCCAUACAAAUAGGGUUUGGAUAUUAAAACUUCCAUACAAAUUGGGUUUGGAUAAUAAAACUUCCAUGACAUUCCUCUUGAUAUCAGAUCAACAAGUCCUUUCCAGCUGGUCAGUGUAUCAGCCAUGUAUGCCUGGUCAAAGUAGUGGGUGUAAUAUAUAAGAUAGUUAAAAUGUAUUAUGGUUGUGAAUCGUGAGAUUGUUUAAGGGUAUGGUGAAUUUAGUGAUGUUAUAAUGAAAUUGUAUGUUUAUGUAUAUAUAUAUAUAUAUUGGGAGAAACUGCCAGAAGAAAAUGCUGUACUUAAACUCAAAAAAUUUCACGAGUUUAUCACAUAUUUUAGAUGUGGUGUGGGUUUUAUGCAUACCUAUACCAUGUAAACAAAUUGCUUAUUCGAAAAAAUAUCUAACCCAUUAGUCAAAUGUUGGUUUUCAUCAAAAUACAGAAUAAAUAAUGUCAUUUUGAAUAUUGGGCAUGGUAUUAUCCAAUUAUAAGCUAUAUAUCAGACCUCAGACAGAGCCCUCAGUCUGAUAUUGGACCAGGACUCACAUGUGAAAUAUUAUGUAAUAACCUAUAACUUAUGAUCAUGUUGGUACUAGCAUUAAUAGUUUAUACCUAUGUCUGAAGGAGAUUUUUUUUUGUAUAAAGAAUUUAGUCAAAAACUCUACAAAGUUCUCAAAUUUUCAUCUUAGUAAUUGAAAAUGCAAGGAAAAUUAUUGAUAAAUAUUUCAAUAGCUAUGGUAGAAAAAAAUUAGAGUAUUAUAUUUAAACAAAAAUUCCAAGUAUAAAAGUCGUAUGUAAAAUUUUGCCAAAAACUAUUUUACUACCUCUGGUGUUAUUCUCUAGUGAAAGAAAUUUGAGACAAUCAUUUUCCAGAACAUUUCAAAUUCAUAUAAGAAAAUACAUUUUCCAGAACUUUUCAAAUUCAUUAAAAAUUACAGUUUCUAUAUGUUUUAUUAUAGCAUAUGAAAAUAUUGUUAACUUAUUACAGAUCAAAGUUCCUAGGCCUCAUAGAUCUAAUGAUAACAUGUAAUGAGUUCCUAGUGUCAGCUUAUUUAUUUGACUUAGUCUAUUGAGCCAUAUAAGAUUAAAUGUGAUAUAAAUUAUGCACAGUAGAAGACUAGAAGCCCAUUUUAUCUGAAAAGGAUUAUGAAAAUGUGUUUGUGAAGUUUAAAUCAGUACCUACAGAUUGUGUGCAAGUGAUUUGUUAAUGUUAUUGUUUUAGGUAUAUGCAAUAUACAUCAUGGGUAAUUGUAUUUUAUCACUCAUCAUAUGACGCAAUACAUGUACAUGUAUGUGUGCUAAUUUUUUUUCAAAUUUAUUUUAAUUUUAUUGAGAAAUAGUAUUAGAAUUAUCAUGUAGAAAAUAAUCAUUUAUUCAUUUGAAAGUCACCUGUUUGACAAAUGUAACUUAUUCAUCACCCCUAUAGCUGUAAAACCACAUGUUUUUAAUUAUAUUUAAAUAAUAACAAUUAAACAUUAGCACAAUUAGACCUUGAUCAUGGAAUACUACAAAUAAUAAUAUUAUUGAAUGAUAAAGAUUUUCAAAGAAAAAAUAGUAGAAGAAAAGGCCCAACGGCUCUUUUCACAAAAAAUCUUAAGAACAAAAAUACUUGUAAUUCACAUAUUUCAGUAUAACUAACGAUCAACUUUAGUCUUAAGAUUUUGUGAAAAAAACUUGCUGUUGUUUUAAACUUUAAACGGUCUUUUAUUUGAAAUCUUGUUAACUGAAAAUUGCUAGGAAUUUGUUUCUUUUCCUCAUAACUUACUUUAUAUGCUAUCAAGUAAUAUAUGUUGAUGUUUUUGACAUUUUAUGUUUAAAAUCAUAAAUAUUUAAAAAAGAUAUGUAGUUUAAAUCUAAUGUUUGGUUCUAGAAUCUUACGUACACAAAUUCAGUUUGAAAAAAAUAUACAAAAAGAUAUACAUGUACUCGUAUAUGGCAAGUUAUGAAUUACUAUAAAAUAUAUUAGCAAAAUUUAGUUUUUUCUUAACUUUUGAAUUUUAAAAUAAAGUUUAGUUUUGUAUGGGAAGUUAUAAAUUAUAAAAUAAAUAAGCAAUAUUUAGUUUUUUUCUUAACUUUUGAAACUUAAAAAAUAAGAUUUAGUUUCUCUUGUCCUAAAGAGGUGAUUAGUCUUGUAGUUGUUCUGUAGUUAAGAAUACUGUUCAUCAUGUGUAUUCCAUCUUUGACUCACUAGUUUCGUCUUGUUUGUUUGUUUGCUUGUUAUAUUAUUUAUUUCUUAAUUUGUGAAUCUCUUUACUUAUAAAAUUAUUAUUUAAUUAAAAUGAGAAAUCC
rnacentral:lncRNA from 1 species